GAUGAACGCUGGCGGCGUGCCUAAUACAUGCAAGUCGAGCGAACGGACGAGAAGCUUGCUUCUCUGAUGUUAGCGGCGGACGGGUGAGUAACACGUGGAUAACCUACCUAUAAGACUGGGAUAACUUCGGGAAACCGUAGCUAAUACCGGAUAAUAUUUUGAACCGCAUGGUUCAAAAGUGAAAGACGGUCUUGCUGUCACUUAUAGAUGGAUCCGCGCUGCAUUAGCUAGUUGGUAAGGUAACGGCUUACCAAGGCAACGAUGCAUAGCCGACCUGAGAGGGUGAUCGGCCACACUGGAACUGAGACACGGUCCAGACUCCUACGGGAGGCAGCAGUAGGGAAUCUUCCGCAAUGGGCGAAAGCCUGACGGAGCAACGCCGCGUGAGUGCUGAAGGUCUUCGGAUCGUAAAACUCUGUUAUUAGGGAAGAACAUAUGUGUAAGUACCUGUGCACAUCUUGACGGUACCUAAUCAGAAAGCCACGGCUAACUACGUG
rnacentral:rRNA from 1 species